rnacentral:ribozyme from 11 species
GACAGAGGGAAAGAACAGAAGAAAGAACAAAAAAGAAAAGCAGCCACCGCAAUCACCUCGUGUCCAUUCAUCGAGGGCUGCCUGCGUUCUCUCUGGCUCUUCCUUUUUUCUUUUCUCUUCUCUCUCUCUC